CCUACGGGGUGCUGCAGUGGGGAAUAUUGGACAAUGGGGGGAACCCUUAUCCAGCGACGCCGCGUGAGUGAAGAAGUAUUUCGGUAUGUAAAGCUCUAUCAGCAGGGAAGAAAGAAAUGACGGUACCUGACUAAGAAGCCCCGGCUAACUACGUACCAGCAGCCGCGGUAAUACGUAGGGGGCAAGCGUUAUCCGGAUUUACUGGGUGGAAAGGGAGCGUAGACGGCGAUGCAAGUCUGAAGUGAAAGGCGGGGGCGCAACCCCCGGACUGCUUUGGAAACUGUAUGGCUAGAGUGCAGGAGAGGUAAGUGGAAUUACUAGUGUAGCGGUGAAAUGCGUAGAUAUUAGGAGGAACACCAGUGGCGAAGGCGGCUUACUGGACUGUAACUGACGUUGAGGCUCGAAAGCGUGGGGAGCAAACAGGAUGAGAUACCCGGGUAGUC
rnacentral:rRNA from 1 species